CCCUUAGAUGUUCUGGGCUGCACGCGCGCUACACUGAUACCUUCAGCGAGUCCAGCACCUUGCCUGGGAAGGUGGGGUAACCUCUGGAAAGUGUAUCGUGAUGGGGAUAGAUUAUUGUAAUUAUUAAUCUUCAACGAGGAAUUCCUAGUAAGCAUGUGUCAUCAGCCCGUGCUGAUUACGUCCCUGCCCUUUGUACACACCGCCCGUCGCUCCUACCGAUUGAAUGCUCAGGUGAGCCAUUCGGACUUUCAUCAUGCUGGUUUCCAGUUUUGAUGAAGGAAAGUCUUGCGAACCUUAUCAUUUAGAGGAAGGAGAAGUCGUAACA
rnacentral:rRNA from 1 species